AAACAGCCCCUGUCGACCCCCCACUAUUAGUUAUCAUCCCUAAAUCACUAUAAAAAUACCCUCGGAACAACCUCAUCUAUAUGCCAAAGGUCCCUUGGUGGCUUCGAGAGGCAUAAGUGGGUGGUGGUAGACCGGUCGUUGUGGCUGUGUAACUUUCAAUACCCUAAAAAGCUAACGUUUUGAUGGUUUCAUUUGAAGAGUGCCUUCAGUAGUCCAUGGUUUCUUCUUAUUUUUCCCGAUUGCAGAUAUGUGUUUGUGCAUGCCGAGAUCCUUUCAUUUCUAGGCCUUGCAAUCGAUCAUCAGGAAUUCAUGUAGUUGGUUUAUUAUUUAUUUAUUUAUUUCUAGGCUUUAUCAUCAAUAUUAUUAGCCAGAUAUCUGAAGAGGUCUGAUUCUGUUUAUCAGUCCGUAUGUGCAAUGUUUUUUAAGACGGUGAAAGAGGCUUCGGAUGCCAUGGCUUCUCGUAUAAUUGAAUUGAGUAAUGAUACACAACACUGUAAAAUGAGGUAACUUUUGUAAAAUAAUGUAAUUUUUAUAUGAUAUUUUACAAUAAUAACCUUUAAAGUAUUGUGUGAUUAUCA